GGAUAGCCGAUCGGAGCAGUCGGAUCAGUCGGUUCAUCGAAGUGGUUGAAAUUAAAUACUAGUGCUGAAGUUUUAAAUUCUACUGCUUCUCAAGACUUUGACGUAUGACCCCGUGAAAAUUCAUCCAUAGUGACGGUAUACCGCCUAUAUUGUCCUUUGCACGUAUGAAACUGCGUUGCCCAAUUUCAAAGACCAAUAGCGAAGGUAUUGUUGGAUGGAAAUAUAGAGUGAACCUAUAUUAAGAACAGCGAAUUUCCAAAUGGGAACGAAAGCUGAAUGGGUGAACGGAUCGUGCGCCGCGCGUGGCAGAAAUCAGACCUAACAUUGAGGAAGCAGCAAGAAAAUCGUGUGCAUCUAUACGACGCACAUUCUCAGUGGUUCUGCGUCGAGAAGAAAGGUCUGGCCCUCUGAAGAUGGAAAUUCUCAACGCAGAGCAGUAAAAAAUAUCAAUUUGCAGCAACGUACACCCGGAUUCACCGCGAUGGCCAAUGGAUACAAUUCCAGAACUCAUAACACCCUCUGGACUGGCUACGCUGUGUUCGUGAAUCGCAUAAAAAUUUUGCGGUACAAUUACUGUAACCGGACUCUAGUUUUCCACCCGCUAUCUGAAGCACCUGGUAAAUUAUUGCCACACUCAAACACAUAUAUCGAACAAAUAACAAUUUCUCUCGGAGGAUUUUCAUUUUUAUCCGCUCCACCACGUACCAGGGUAUGUAUGAUGUAAGUACGUAUAGAAAAAUAUAUGUAUAUAUUUCAUGAUACACAGUUCCAUAUUUACGUAGAGAGAAAGUCUAAAUGCAUCGAUAUUUAUUUCACUUCGCCGUUUCUCUCUUGAAUCGCCUUUUAGACAGUUCCACCGCAGUUCUGUAAGGAAAUCUUAUCAAUUUUUUGGCAGUGCACACGUGCGUCAUGAAUAAUAUUCGAACAUACGUGUUGAACGCAGUAGUUGACAGCAGGUCGACGACGUUCAAUUUUCAUCAUAUUUUUUUGAAGGUCGAUUUUGCUAUUCUGCGG